GACGAACGCUGGCGGCGUGCCUAAUACAUGCAAGUUGAGCGCUGAAGGUUGGUACUUGUACCAACUGGAUGAGCAGCGAACGGGUGAGUAACGCGUGGGGAAUCUGCCUUUGAGCGGGGGACAACAUUUGGAAACAAAUGCUAAUACCGCAUAAAAACUUUAAACACAAGUUUUAAGUUUGAAAGAUGCAAUUGCAUCACUCAAAGAUGAUCCCGCGUUGUAUUAGCUAGUUGGUGAGGUAAAGGCUCACCAAGGCGAUGAUACAUAGCCGACCUGAGAGGGUGAUCGGCCACAUUGGGACUGAGACACGGCCCAAACUCCUACGGGAGGCAGCAGUAGGGAAUCUUCGGCAAUGGACGAAAGUCUGACCGAGCAACGCCGCGUGAGUGAAGAAGGUUUUCGGAUCGUAAAACUCUGUUGGUAGAGAAGAGCGUUGGUGAGAGGGAAAGCUCAUCAAGUGACGGUAACUA
rnacentral:rRNA from 1 species